rnacentral:rRNA from 1 species
CCUACGGGUGGCAGCAGUGAGGAAUAUUGGUCAAUGGGCGGAAGCCUGAACCAGCCAAGUAGCGUGCAGGAUGAAGGUACAGAGUAUCGUAAACCUCUUUUGUCAGGGAACAAAGGCGGGGACGUGUCCCCGGAUGAGUGUACCUGAAAAAAAAGCAUCGGCUAACUCCGUGCCAGCAGCCGCGGUAAUACGGAGGAUGCGAGCGUUAUCCGGAUUUAUUGGGUUUAAAGGGUGCGCAGGCGGUCUGUUAAGUCAGCGGUCAAAGCCCGGGGCUCACCCCCGGCCCGCCGUUGAAACUGGCAGUCUCGAGUUGGAGAGAGGUAUGCGGAAUGCGCGGUGUAGCGGUGAAAUGCAUAGAUAUCGCGCAGAACUCCGAUUGCGAAGGCAGCAUGCCGGCUCCACACUGACGCUGAGGCACGAAAGCGUGGGUAUCGAACAGGAUUAGAUACCCCGGUAGUC